UUAUGUUCUUAACAUGCGUUUAAAUGUACUUUUUAAAUCUGUUCUUAUCAGUUUAAUAUCUGAUACGUCCCCUAUCUGGGGACCAUAUAUUAAAUGGAUUUUUGAGAACGGGGGCCGAUUUCGAAGCUUGCUUCCGUCGCCCUAUGCAUUGACCCGAUAUGGCAGUAUCUUCGGGUACAGUGCACCACCC